GGGAAAAGAUUUGUUGAAACAGUGCAACUGUUUUUGUAACCAAAAUAUAAAAUGAAUUUUGCAAGUACAAACCAACAUGAAAACAGUUAGAACACAAUGUUUUUAAUACAAGUUAUCUUUAAAUGAGAAUCCAUAACUCGGUUAAACAUUUUGGGUUUUUUAAAAUUAAGAACUUAUAUUCUCGUACCAAAUACUUGCCACGGCAAGUUUGCAUAGGCUGCAAGUCCUCAGACUUGUUACCAAAGACCAGAACUGACAAAAAGCACAGACUUUCUGUGACACUUACAUGCUCAGUGAGGGCAAGGUUUGCUUCAAAGAAAGAUCUGAUAGUUCCUAUAUCUUCCCAAUAAUCAUUGAAGAGAUAAGCC
rnacentral:lncRNA from 1 species